UUUUCUAUUUUUACUCCCAUUAUUAAGGAUGCAAAUUAAAUUUGUAUGCAAAAACACAUAUUUUUAAAUUAAAUUGCACCCAUAAUAAUGAGAGUAAAAAAAGAUAA